GAUAGCUCAGUUUGGUUAGAGCAUCAGAUUCAGGUUCUGAUUGUCGAAGGUUCAAAUCCUUCUCCAUUGGCCUUCCA
rnacentral:tRNA from 1 species